rnacentral:rRNA from 1 species
GAUGAACGCUGGCGGCGUGCCUAAUACAUGCAAGUCGAGCGAACGGACGAGAAGCUUGCUUUUCUGAUGUUAGCGGCGGACGGGUGAGUAACACGUGGAUAACCUACCUAUAAGACUGGGAUAACUUCGGGAAACCGGAGCUAAUACCGGAUAAUAUUUUGAACCGCAUGGUUCAAAAGUGAAAGACGGUCUUGCUGUCACUUAUAGAUGGAUCCGCGCUGCAUUAGCUAGUUGGUAAGGUAACGGCUUACCAAGGCAACGAUGCAUAGCCGACCUGAGAGGGUGAUCGGCCACACAGGAACUGAGACACGGUCCAGACUCCUACGGGAGGCAGCAGUAGGGAAUCUUCCGCAAUGGGCGAAAGCCUGACGGAGCAACGCCGCGUGAGUGAUGAAGGUCUUCGGAUCGUAAAACUCUGUUAUUAGGGAAGAACAUAUGUGUAAGUAACUGUGCACAUCUUGACGGUACCUAAUCAGAAAGCCACGGCUAACUACGUG